rnacentral:rRNA from 1 species
AACGAACGCUGGCGGCAUGCCUAACACAUGCAAGUCGAACGAGACCUUCGGGUCUAGUGGCGCACGGGUGCGUAACGCGUGGGAACCUGCCCUUAGGUUCGGAAUAACUCCCCGAAAGGGGUGCUAAUACCGGAUAAUGUCUUCGGACCAAAGAUUUAUCGCCUUUGGAUGGGCCCGCGUUGGAUUAGCUAGUUGGUAGGGUAAAAGCCUACCAAGGCGACGAUCCAUAGCUGGUCUGAGAGGAUGAUCAGCCACACUGGGACUGAGACACGGCCCAGACUCCUACGGGAGGCAGCAGUGGGGAAUAUUGGACAAUGGGCGAAAGCCUGAUCCAGCAAUGCCGCGUGAGUGAUGAAGGCCUUAGGGUUGUAAAGCACUUUUACCCGGGAUGAUAAUGACAGUACCGGGAGAAUAAGCUCCGGCUAACUCCGUG